rnacentral:lncRNA from 1 species
GGCGGCUGUCUCAGAAACGACCUUGCUCUGCAGAUGUGCAGGCUAAGCCCAGAGAGGCCGAGUGACUUCCCCCCGCUUUACACAGGGGUCUGGAGACUGAGUUGGGUCCAGAACCCAGACAGCCCCCUUCCGAGUCCAGUUCUCCCUCUACCCCGCCAACGUGACCCCCAGGAUGAGACCUGUCGCCUCCCGGGGGCCCCCAGGACUGUCUCCUUCCCUUCGGGAUUCCCGGGCGCCAACGGUGAACCCUCGCUGUGUCCCUGAGUCUGCGUUACGCUGGGCACCCCCGGUGACGCGCCAGGUUUUCUCCGGUCUCCCGUCCGCAGGUCCCGCAGCCGCGGACGCAGAGUGGAAACGGACACGGUCGCCGCCACCGAUUCCCGCGCCUGAGCUGAGGAAGGGGGCGGAUGGAAGGAAUCGAAGGGCUCCGAAGAAAAACCCCCGGGGCCAUCAGUGUGGAAGGACGGUGGAGUUUAGAGUCCAGCAGGGCGAGAUGUGAACCCGGAUUUUGUGACCCAGCAGCUCUGCAACCAUGGGCAAGUCGCUUUGCUUCUUGGGGCAUUAGUUCCCUCGGGUUUGGAAAACAAAGACCGUGAUUCAUGUGUGUUUAGAAAUGUGAAUUACAUUUCCUGCCCAUCUCUCCUUGGUCAGCCUUUCCCCACCCCCCCCACCAAGACCCCUACAGCUAAUUAAUAGGAUUGGAGUGGACACCUCGUCCAGGCUGGGCAAAUCCGAUUCCCUCCCUGAGAACUUCAGUUUGGGAUGAGGACACAAAGUCAAUCAGCUGUAAAUCCAUCCCGGCAGAUCGGGCCGUCCCGGGAGAGGCUGUGUUGGUGCUACAUGUAAUGGUGGGUCACAAGUGAGCGGAGAAGCCAGUUAGCAGAGAGAAGAAGGAAAGUGACCAAAGGAAUACUGACCCUCCUUAUCCUCAGCCUUUCUACCGGAGCUUCUCGCAUGGAUCUGGUCAACAGUUACGAUUCUGUUCGAUUGCCCGCGGCAGAAAACUCAGUCCAAACUACGCGAAGCAAAAAAAGAAUUCCCUGCUCGUAGGAGAACUUUCGGGGUUCAGAUCGGUUUCAACCACAACUUAAGGGGCCCCCAGUAAUGUCACCCUGGCCUGGUUUUUCUCCGUUUCUCUCCGGCUCAGGCUACACAUGACACGUUGGCAACAGCUCUGGGCUACAAACGUCCAGGUUCAAGUUCAUGGGCAAAGGAUUGCGAGAGUUCUUUCUCGGAAGCUUCAGUGAAGGUCUCAUGGCAUCUCAGUGGCUCUUGGUUGGGUCCCAUCCCUGUGCCAGUCACUGGGGCCAGAGGAAUGUGCCAUAUGGAUUGCUCUGAGCCUAGGUCACGGGGCCUAUCUCUGAGCUGAAAUAGGCCGGUUGAGGACAUACGCG